rnacentral:rRNA from 1 species
CCUACGGGAGGCAGCAGUGGGGAAUAUUGCGCAAUGGGCGCAAGCCUGAUGCAGCGACGCCGCGUGAAGGAAGAAGGCUUUCGGGUUGUAAACUUCUAUCAGGAGGGAAGAGCAGAAGACGGUCCCACUUGAAUAAGCCACGGCUAACUACGUGCCAGCAGCCGCGGUAAUACGUAGGUGGCACGCGUUGUCCGGAUUUACUGGGUGUAAAGGGCGUGUAGCCGGGCUGACAAGUCAGAUGUGAAAUCCCGUGGCUCAACCACGGAACUGCAUUUGAAACUGCCGGUCUUGAGUGUCGGAGAGGCAGGCGGAAUUCCUAGGGUAGCGGUGAAAUGCGUAGAUAUUAGGAGGAACACCAGUGGCGAAGGCGGCCUGCUGGACGACAACUGACGGUGAGGCGCGAAAGCGUGGGGAGCAAACAGGAUUAGAUACCCGAGUAGUC